rnacentral:rRNA from 1 species
UACAGAGGGGGCAAGCGUUGUUCGGAUUUACUGGGCGUAAAGGGCGCGUAGGCGGCCACCGCAAGUCGACUGUGAAAUCUCCGGGCUUAACCCGGAAAGGUCAGCCGAUACUGCGGGGCUAGAGUGCAGAAGGGGCAACUGGAAUUCUCGGUGUAGCGGUGAAAUGCGUAGAUAUCGAGAGGAACACCUGCGGCGAAGGCGGGUUGCUGGGCUGACACUGACGCUGAUGUGCGAAAGCCAGGGGAGCGAACGGG